CCCAUCGAUGAUGAUGAGCUGAUCUCCUACAUCACCUCCGGCCUCGACAUGGAGUACCAACCUCUCGUCUCCGCCAACGACGCCCGCACCGAGCCCAUCAGCAUCGACGAUCUCUACUCCCAGAUGAGUAACUUCGAUC
rnacentral:snoRNA from 1 species